GCAGGAAGAGCGGGGGGGGGGGGAAGAAUAAAUGCCCCCCCCUCCACUCAUUAAGGUAAAUAGAGGAAAGGAUCCAGUAGAGUGAGGGCAGGGUCAAAGGUACCCAGAGAAGAGUCCUUGGUAACCAUUUGCAUUUAGAGAAGCAGAUGAACAGGGAAAGGGCCUCAGGACACUGUGCUCAGCCUAGGCACGGUGGUCAGCGUCCGGUGGCAGGAAAGGAGCAAGCCAUGGGCCUUUCAGAGGAGAGAGACCGAAGCUGUUUGGCGGGAGGCGGGGUCUUUGAGCAGGCGGUGAAGAAUGAGUACGGUUUGAAUGUGCAGCUACAGCAAAUAGUUUUUGAGAGCCUGUUCUGUGCCAAGCUGUGGGCCGGGCACUUGGGAUUUGGCAGUGAACUGGACAGACACAGUUGCUACCCAUUUAGAGCUCUUACAGCUGAGUGGGAGUCCACAGUCUAGCCCUGAAAUGUACCCAUAGAUUUAAUUACGGUGGGAGCCCAGAGAGUGUGUCGGGGACAGACUGCCAGACUGCCGUGGUCUGGGACCCCUGCUGAGGGUGACUUCAGCUGUGGCCUGAAGGAAGAGGGAGGCAAGGGGCGGGAGUGUUCCUGCAGAAGAAAGGCAAGGGCACAGCCCCCAGGAUUUUAGUUCCCCGACCAGGGAUUGAACCCAGGCCCUCAGCAGUGAGAGUGCAGAGUCCUAACCACUGGACCACCAGGGAAUUUCCACAUUUUGCUAUACUGAAGAGUGCCCUCUCUCUGUCAUAUUCUGUAAGGACAAUAAAUAUCUAAAUUCCUUCCACCUGAAAUUUCCUUAAGUCAACAGAGUGCAGAAUGGGCCACCUGGGCCUAGUCAUGGUGGAACCACAGAGAGAAGAGAGAUGGAAGGAGAGUCUGUCACAAACCUCUGAAGCUGUGGCAAUCCAUGCUGGUGCACCAGGAGGGGACAGAGGCCAGAGACCCCUCUUAGGCUGGUCUGUGUGUCGUCCAUUCUUCAGCCCUUCGUCGAGUGUCACAGCUGCCACCAGAGUCUCAGGAAUCAUGUGGCCUUUGAAGUCUGUGGCCAGCUCCAACCCUGGACUCUCUUCCCAGUUCCCCCAGCCCCAUGGCCUCCAAAGAUGCAAGUUCAUGGCCUUCAUUUUUCCUUUGUGCCAACAGCCAGGACAUCACCAAAAUGAUAACCACAGGAAAGUUACAGUGUCCUAGAAGGAUCUUAUAUUCAUGAUCCUCGUCUGCGUUCCCUCAUUCCCUGGUCUAAACGGAGUCAGACACCAGGCCCUGCCCUUUCUUUUUGCCUCAACACUUCUCAGAAGUCAGAGGUCCAAAAUUCACCCGGGUAACAGAGCACCGGGAAGUUAUGGGUUCCCUAAGGAAACCAGUGAUCACUGAUGUUUCUAAUUCCAUCACAGGAAAGGAGGGUCAGGACCCAAUCCUAGAUGAGGUACAGGAAGCUCAGUGGUUAGUGCACAGGCUGUGGGUUGUGCAAACCUUGGAUUGAAUUCCACCUCCAACACUUACUAAUUGUAUGACUUUGGGAAAGUCACUCCAUUUCUCAGAGUCUCAGUGCUCUGGACUGAAUUGUGUCUCCCUCUAAAUUCAUAUGUUGAAGCCCUAGCCCCCAGUAUGACUAUAUUUGGAGAUGGG